AGAUUUUAGAUUGUUGUUGUUGCCUGUGUCAAUAACUGAAUCUCCGAUGCUCUGGAAUUUUUCCAUUGGUCCGUCCGCAAGUAAAAAGGAGAAGUGGAAGUAAAACGGUUGAAACAACAGAAUGUAUUUUCACCAAGAAAACACCACAUUUUCAGGUGAAUUGUGCAUUGUGCGAGAAAUUUUUAUACACAUCCGAAUGUAUACACUCCACUAAUAAAUAAAUUAACACUAGUCAAAAUCAUGAUAGAUUUCAUAUUCAAAUUGAAAUAAAUAUUCCAGUGGAUGCAAGAAAGCAGGCAUACAAAGGGGAUAAACAGUUCUUGUAAUUCUUUAACCAAAGAUUGCUAUGUACAAUAAAAAAAAAUUUCUCUGUUGAAAGCUGAUCAAGCACAAUUUAGCCACAUUUUUAUUAUCUCUUUUAUUGCUUAUUUACACAUUUUCUUGCUUAAUUUAUGGUUUUUAUCUUAUUUUUACAAAAAAGGAAGAAUCUGGAAAAUGGGAGAAAAAGUGCAGAAAAUUUGCAAAAGGAUGAUUUGCCCAGUGAUUUGCCCAAAAAUCUGCUCCAAUCACUGCCCAGAUCAAGCUAAAACAGAUACCCAGAGGCAACAGACAGCAGUGACAUGGGCAAGCGAUUUGACCAAGACAAUCGAGGAUCACUGGC
rnacentral:lncRNA from 1 species